GUGGGGGGGCUUGGGGCGAAAGUUUCCCCUCGGCUGCUUGCUGGGGCGGGGAAGGAGCGCGGAGCCCGGAGCCCGGGAUGGAGAGAGCGAGCUCUGGUUCCUGAGGCCUCUCUCCCGAAAAGCCCCAGUAAAAGAACGUACGAAGAGCCAUGAAAAUGGAGACUUGCUCCUUCCUGCACCUGUGACCCCCUCCGUGGCCCGGAGCGCCUCAAUACCCCAUUCAGCCCCUGGGAGGGGCCCUACCUAGCCCAGGCCCCCUCAGCCCUGGGCCCCCCAGCCCUGCGGGGGUGGGUGGGAAGGGGCGAUUUCCUAGCUGCUGAGGAGGAGAGCCGAUGAGCAUGCUUUCCCAACUCUAGUGAAUGGCUGGUCGCAUUCUGUGGCAUGCUCCCGCCCCCGAAGCAUCCAGAACUGCCAACCACAGUUUCAUUGGCAGUGCCCGGAAUUCCUGCCGAGUACAUAGAACACGCCACGGUAUUUGACAAACAGAAGGCAGACGCUCUAUUUCCACAGCACCGUGAUGAUUGCACAAUUGACCUUCAACCAGGAACAGGAGUUCCUUUUGGGUGCAUUUACACCUGAUCUGUACCCAAGCUGCAGGCCCUCCAGGAGUACCUUGAGGAAAAUUUGCGGAAGAGGUUCAUGGUCCCUUGACUUCCCGAGUGCCAGCACAUGUCUUCUUCGUGGCCAAGAAGGAUGGCUCCCUCCCUUAUAUUGAUUAUUGAACCUUUAACGAGAUCACAGUCUGCGACUGAUGCCCCUUUUCAUGAAAGACUCUGGGUCAGGUCUUCACAAAGCUAGACUGGCGUGGAGCAUACAACCUGUCAGAAUCCAGCAAGGGAAUGUGUGAUGCUGACGGACCAGGGGCCAAGGCCCUUAGAUCUCAACUGACCACUGGCAACUAUGUAGCUGGAACCAGCCUGGCUCACCCAUGUGCUACUAUUGUUAAAGUAGGUAUUAGAGUUUUAAAAAUGUGUUGUUGCGUGCGCUAAUCUAAUCUAAUAUCUGUAUCCUAUGUUACAAGGUAACAAAUACAACAAGGAGUCUGGUGGCACCUUAAAGACUAAC